rnacentral:rRNA from 1 species
UAUGGCUCAGGAUGAACGCUAGCUACAGGCUUAACACAUGCAAGUCGAGGGGCAGCAUGAGAUUAGCUUGCUAAUCUGAUGGCGACCGGCGCACGGGUGCGUAACACGUAUCCAAUCUACCCAUGGCUCGGGGAUAGCCUUUCGAAAGAAAGAUUAAUACCCGAUGGUCUGCGAUUGAGACAUCUCGAUUGCAGUAAAGACUUGUCGGCGAUGGAUGGGGAUGCGUCCGAUUAGCUAGUUGGCGGGGUAACGGCCCACCAAGGCGACGAUCGGUAGGGUUCUGAGAGGAAGGUCCCCCACACUGGAACUGAGACACGGUCCAGACUCCUACGGGAGGCAGCAGUGAGGAAUAUUGGUCAAUGGUCGGGAGACUGAACCAGCCAAGUAGCGUGAGGGACGACGGCCCUACGGGUUGUAAACCUCUUUUGUAUGGGAAUAAAGUGAGGCACGUGUGCCUUUUUGUAUGUACCUUACGAAUAAGCAUCGGCUAAUUCCGUGCCAGCAGCGGC